UACGUAUGGUGCAAGCGUUAUCCGGAUUUACUGGGUGUAAAGGGAGCGUAGGCGGCGCGUUAAGUCUGAUGUGAAAACCCGAGGCUCAACCACGGGAGUGCAUUGGAAACUGGCGUGCUGGAGUGCCGGGGAGGUAAGCGGAAUUCCUAGUGUAGCGGUGAAAUGCGUAGAUAUUAGGAGGAACACCAGUGGCGAAGGCGGCUUACUGGACGGCAACUGACGCUGAGGCUCGAAAGCGUGGGGAGCAAACAGG
rnacentral:rRNA from 1 species